GUAACUACGCGGGCAGGUAUGAGGGUAACUACGCGGGCAGGUAUGAGGGUAACUACGCGGGCAGGUAUGAGGGUAACUACGCGGGCAGGUAGGAGGGUAACUACGCGGGCAGGUAGGAGGGUAACUACGCGGGCAGGUAGGAGGGUAACUACGCGGGCAGGUAGGAGGGUAACUAAAUGGGCAGGUAGGAGGGUAACUACGUGGGCAGGUAUGAGGGUAACUACAUGUGCAGGUAGGAGGGUAACUACGCGGGCAGGUAGGAGGGUAACUACGCGGGCAGGUAGGAGGGUAACUACGCGGGCAGGUAUGAGGGUAACUACAUGGGCAGGUAGGAGGGUAGCUACAGCCAACCAGUUGAGUUCUCUGUGAAUGUGACUCAAAGCAAAAUGAAAGCAAAGUGAAGCAAAAUGUCAGACUGGAUUUGUGUUCUGAGCCUGAACUUCCCACUUCUGCCAAAGAAGAGGUCUCCUGCCCAGAUGUUCACUGCCUUGAGAACGGCUGACGUAAGAAGUGAAUAAAAAACAAUGGAGGGAAUAAAAGAUUAAGUGACCAAUGGGUUGAAGGAGUGAAGGGAACAGCUGUUUAAUUACAGCGGGUUGAUUAAAUGGGUGGGUCGUGCAGGGACCUUUUGUAAUGUUUCUGUUUGGAAAGGUUGGCUGACUCAGAUGCUACCUCUUC